GUUCUGUAAGCGGUUGAAGGUGUGUGGUAACGCAUGCUGGACGUAUCAGAAGUGCGAAUGCUGACAUGAGUAACGAUAAAGGGGGUGAAAAACCUCCUCGCCGGAAGACCAAGGGUUCCUGUCCAACGUUAAUCGGGGCAGGGUAAGUCGACCCCUAAGGCGAGGCCGAAAGGCGUAGUCGAUGGGAAACGGGUUAAUAUUCCCGUACUUCUUACAAUUGCGAUGGGGGGACGGAGAAGGCUAGGUGGGCCCUGGCGACGGUUGUCCAGGUUCAAGUGCGUAGGCUUGAGAGUUAGGUAAAUCCGGCUCUUUUUAAGGCUGAGACACGACGUCGAGCCACUACGGUGGUGAAGUCAUUGAUGCCAUGCUUCCAGGAAAAGCCUCUAAGCUUCAGAUUGUAAGGAAUCGUACCCCAAACCGACACAGGUGGUCGGGUAGAGAAUACCAAGGCGCUUGAGAGAACUCGGGUGAAGGAACUAGGCAAAAUGGUACCGUAACUUCGGGAGAAGGUACGCUCUCGACGGUGAAGUCCCUCGCGGAUGGAGCUAUUGAGAGUCGCAGAUACCAGGUGGCUGCAACUGUUUAUUAAAAACACAGCACUGUGCAAAAUCGUAAGAUGACGUAUACGGUGUGACGCCUGCCCGGUGCCGGAAGGUUAAUUGAUGGGGUUAGACUUCGGUCGAAGCUCUUGAUCGAAGCCCCGGUAAACGGCGGCCGUAACUAUAACGGUCCUAAGGUAGCGAAAUUCCUUGUCGGGUAAGUUCCGACCUGCACGAAUGGCGUAAUGAUGGCCACGCUGUCUCCACCCGAGACUCAGUGAAAUUGAAAUCGCUGUGAAGAUGCAGUGUACCCGCGGCUAGACGGAAAGACCCCGUGAACCUUUACUACAGCUUGGCACUGAACAUUGACCCUACAUGUGUAGGAUAGGUGGGAGGCUUUGAAGCACGUACGCCAGUAUGUGUGGAGCCGUCCUUGAAAUACCACCCUUGUAGUGUUGAUGUUCUAACGUCGACCCCUUAUCGGGGUUGCGGACAGUGCCUGGUGGGUAGUUUGACUGGGGCGGUCUCCUCCCAAAGAGUAACGGAGGAGCACGAAGGUGGGCUAAUCACGGUUGGACAUCGUGAGGUUAGUGCAAUGGCAUAAGCCCGCUUGACUGCGAGAAUGACAAUUCGAGCAGGUGCGAAAGCAGGUCAUAGUGAUCCGGUGGUUCUGAAUGGAAGGGCCAUCGCUCAACGGAUAAAAGGUACUCCGGGGAUAACAGGCUGAUACCGCCCAAGAGUUCAUAUCGACGGCGGUGUUUGGCACCUCGAUGUCGGCUCAUCACAUCCUGGGGCUGAAGUCGGUCCCAAGGGUAUGGCUGUUCGCCAUUUAAAGUGGUACGCGAGCUGGGUUUAGAACGUCGUGAGACAGUUCGGUCCCUAUCUGCCGUGGGCGUUGGAAGAUUGAAGGGGGCUGCUCCUAGUACGAGAGGACCGGAGUGGACGAACCUCUGGUGUUCGGGUUGUGUCGCCAGACGCAUUGCCCGGUAGCUAAGUUCGGAAUCGAUAACCGCUGAAAGCAUCUAAGCGGGAAGCGAGCCCUGAGAUGAGUCUUCCCUGAUACUUUAAGUAUCCUAAAGGGUUGUCGGAGACUACGACGUUGAUAGGUCAGGUGUGUAAGUGCUGUGAGGCAUUGAGCUAACUGAUACUAAUUGCCCGUGAGGCUUAACCAUACAACACCCAAGGGGUUU
rnacentral:rRNA from 1 species